rnacentral:rRNA from 1 species
AGUGAACGCUGGCGGUAGGCCUAACACAUGCAAGUCGAACGGCAGCACAGGAGAGCUUGCUCUCUGGGUGGCGAGUGGCGGACGGGUGAGGAAUACAUCGGAAUCUACUCUGUCGUGGGGGAUAACGUAGGGAAACUUACGCUAAUACCGCAUACGACCUACGGGUGAAAGCAGGGGACCUUCGGGCCUUGCGCGAUUGAAUGAGCCGAUGUCGGAGUAGCUAGUUGGCGGGGUAAAGGCCCACCAAGGCGACGAUCCGUAGCUGGUCUGAGGGGAUGAUCAGCCACACUGGAACUGAGACACGGUCCAGACUCCUACGGGAGGCAGCAGUGGGGAAUAUUGGACAAUGGGCGCAAGCCUGAUCCAGCCAUACCGCGUGGGUGAAGAAGGCCUUCGGGUUGUAACGCCCUUUUGUUGGGAAAGAAAUCCAGCUGGCUAAUACCCGGUUGGGAUGACGGUACCCAAAGAAUAAGCACCGGCUAACUUCGUGCCAGCCGCCGCUGUAG